UGGGGAAUCUUCCGCAAUGGACGAAAGUCUGACGGAGCAACGCCGCGUGAGUGAAGAAGGUUUUCGGAUCGUAAAACUCUGUCUUUUGGGGCGAACGUGAGUAUGGUGAACAAUCAUAGUCAGUGACGGUACCAAAGGAGGAAGCCACGGCUAACUACGUGCCAGCAGCCGCGGUAAUACGUAGGUGGCAAGCGUUGUCCGGAAUUAUUGGGCGUAAAGAGCGCGUAGGCGGGAUAGUCAGUCUGUUGUAAAGUGCGGGGCUCAACCCCGUGAUCGCAAUGGAAACAGCUAUUCUUGAGUGCAGGAGAGGAAAGUGGAAUUCCCAGUGUAGCGGUGAAAUGCGUAGAUAUUGGGAGGAACACCAGUGGCGAAGGCGACUUUCUGGACUGUGUCUGACGCUGAGGCGCGAAAGCCAGGGGGAGCGAACGGGAUUAGAUACCCCCGGUAGUCCUGGGCCGUAAACGAUGGGUACUAGGUGUGGGGAGGUAUCGACCCCCUUUCCGUGCCCGGAGUUAACGCAAUAAGUACCCCCGCCUGGGGAGUACGGUCGCAAGACUGAAACUCAAAUGAAUUGACGGGGGUCAUAGCUGUUUCCUG
rnacentral:rRNA from 1 species